rnacentral:rRNA from 1 species
AACGCUAGCUACAGGCUUAACACAUGCAAGUCGAGGGGUAACAUGAUCAAAGCUUGCUUUGAUUGAUGACGACCGGCGGAUGGGUGAGUAACGCGUAUCCAACCUUCCCAUGUCCACGGGAUAGCCCGUCGAAAGGCGGAUUAAUACCGUAUGAGGUCACAUGCGGGCAUCUAAGUGUGACGAAAGGUUUUGCGGACAUGGAUGGGGAUGCGUCCGAUUAGCUUGUUGGCGGGGUAACGGCCCACCAAGGCGACGAUCGGUAGGGGUUCUGAGAGGAAGGUCCCCCACAUUGGAACUGAGACACGGUCCAAACUCCUACGGGAGGCAGCAGUGAGGAAUAUUGGUCAAUGGACGCAAGUCUGAACCAGCCAAGUAGCGUGCAGGAUGACGGCCCUAUGGGUUGUAAACUGCUUUUAUGCGGGGAUAAAGUGUGGGACGUGUCCCAUAUUGCAGAUACCGCAUGAAUAAGGACCGGCUAAUUCCGUGCCAGCAGCCGCGGUAAUACGGAAGGUCCGGGCGUUAUCCGGAUUUAUUGGGUUUAAAGGGAGCGUAGGCCGUCGUUUAAGCGUGUUGUGAAAUGCCGCGGCUCAACCGUGGCACUGCAGCGCGAACUGGAUGACUUGAGUUCGCGGGAGGUAGGCGGAAUUCGUGGUGUAGCGGUGAAAUGCUUAGAUAUCACGAAGAACUCCGAUUG